rnacentral:rRNA from 2 species
GGUUAAGCGACUAAGCGUACACGGUGGAUGCCCUGGCAGUCAGAGGCGAUGAAGGACGUGCUAAUCUGCGAUAAGCGUCGGUAAGGUGAUAUGAACCGUUAUAACCGGCGAUUUCCGAAUGGGGAAACCCAGUGUGUUUCGACACACUAUCAUUAACUGAAUCCAUAGGUUAAUGAGGCGAACCGGGGGAACUGAAACAUCUAAGUACCCCGAGGAAAAGAAAUCAACCGAGAUUCCCCCAGUAGCGGCGAGCGAACGGGGAGCAGCCCAGAGCCUGAAUCAGUGUGUGUGUUAGUGGAAGCGUCUGGAAAGGCGCGCGAUACAGGGUGACAGCCCCGUACACAAAAAUGCACAUGCUGUGAGCUCGAUGAGUAGGGCGGGACACGUGGUAUCCUGUCUGAAUAUGGGGGGACCAUCCUCCAAGGCUAAAUACUCCUGACUGACCGAUAGUGAACCAGUACCGUGAGGGAAAGGCGAAAAGAACCCCGGCGAGGGGAGUGAAAAAGAACCUGAAACCGUGUACGUACAAGCAGUGGGAGCACGCUUAGGCGUGUGACUGCGUACCUUUUGUAUAAUGGGUCAGCGACUUAUAUUCUGUAGCAAGGUUAACCGAAUAGGGGAGCCGAAGGGAAACCGAGUCUUAACUGGGCGUUAAGUUGCAGGGUAUAGACCCGAAACCCGGUGAUCUAGCCAUGGGCAGGUUGAAGGUUGGGUAACACUAACUGGAGGACCGAACCGACUAAUGUUGAAAAAUUAGCGGAUGACUUGUGGCUGGGGGUGAAAGGCCAAUCAAACCGGGAGAUAGCUGGUUCUCCCCGAAAGCUAUUUAGGUAGCGCCUCGUGAAUUCAUCUCCGGGGGUAGAGCACUGUUUCGGCAAGGGGGUCAACCCGACUUACCAACCCGAUGCAAACUGCGAAUACCGGAGAAUGUUAUCACGGGAGACACACGGCGGGUGCUAACGUCCGUCGUGAAGAGGGAAACAACCCAGACCGCCAGCUAAGGUCCCAAAGUCAUGGUUAAGUGGGAAACGAUGUGGGAAGGCCCAGACAGCCAGGAUGUUGGCUUAGAAGCAGCCAUCAUUUAAAGAAAGCGUAAUAGCUCACUGGUCGAGUCGGCCUGCGCGGAAGAUGUAACGGGGCUAAACCAUGCACCGAAGCUGCGGCAGCGACGCUUAUGCGUUGUUGGGUAGGGGAGCGUUCUGUAAGCCUGCGAAGGUGUGCUGUGAGGCAUGCUGGAGGUAUCAGAAGUGCGAAUGCUGACAUAAGUAACGAUAAAGCGGGUGAAAAGCCCGCUCGCCGGAAGACCAAGGGUUCCUGUCCAACGUUAAUCGGGGCAGGGUGAGUCGACCCCUAAGGCGAGGCCGAAAGGCGUAGUCGAUGGGAAACAGGUUAAUAUUCCUGUACUUGGUGUUACUGCGAAGGGGGGACGGAGAAGGCUAUGUUGGCCGGGCGACGGUUGUCCCGGUUUAAGCGUGUAGGCUGGUUUUCCAGGCAAAUCCGGAAAAUCAAGGCUGAGGCGUGAUGACGAGGCACUACGGUGCUGAAGCAACAAAUGCCCUGCUUCCAGGAAAAGCCUCUAAGCAUCAGGUAACAUCAAAUCGUACCCCAAACCGACACAGGUGGUCAGGUAGAGAAUACCAAGGCGCUUGAGAGAACUCGGGUGAAGGAACUAGGCAAAAUGGUGCCGUAACUUCGGGAGAAGGCACGCUGAUAUGUAGGUGAGGUCCCUCGCGGAUGGAGCUGAAAUCAGUCGAAGAUACCAGCUGGCUGCAACUGUUUAUUAAAAACACAGCACUGUGCAAACACGAAAGUGGACGUAUACGGUGUGACGCCUGCCCGGUGCCGGAAGGUUAAUUGAUGGGGUUAGCGCAAGCGAAGCUCUUGAUCGAAGCCCCGGUAAACGGCGGCCGUAACUAUAACGGUCCUAAGGUAGCGAAAUUCCUUGUCGGGUAAGUUCCGACCUGCACGAAUGGCGUAAUGAUGGCCAGGCUGUCUCCACCCGAGACUCAGUGAAAUUGAACUCGCUGUGAAGAUGCAGUGUACCCGCGGCAAGACGGAAAGACCCCGUGAACCUUUACUAUAGCUUGACACUGAACAUUGAGCCUUGAUGUGUAGGAUAGGUGGGAGGCUUUGAAGUGUGGACGCCAGUCUGCAUGGAGCCGACCUUGAAAUACCACCCUUUAAUGUUUGAUGUUCUAACGUUGACCCGUAAUCCGGGUUGCGGACAGUGUCUGGUGGGUAGUUUGACUGGGGCGGUCUCCUCCUAAAGAGUAACGGAGGAGCACGAAGGUUGGCUAAUCCUGGUCGGACAUCAGGAGGUUAGUGCAAUGGCAUAAGCCAGCUUGACUGCGAGCGUGACGGCGCGAGCAGGUGCGAAAGCAGGUCAUAGUGAUCCGGUGGUUCUGAAUGGAAGGGCCAUCGCUCAACGGAUAAAAGGUACUCCGGGGAUAACAGGCUGAUACCGCCCAAGAGUUCAUAUCGACGGCGGUGUUUGGCACCUCGAUGUCGGCUCAUCACAUCCUGGGGCUGAAGUAGGUCCCAAGGGUAUGGCUGUUCGCCAUUUAAAGUGGUACGCGAGCUGGGUUUAGAACGUCGUGAGACAGUUCGGUCCCUAUCUGCCGUGGGCGCUGGAGAACUGAGGGGGGCUGCUCCUAGUACGAGAGGACCGGAGUGGACGCAUCACUGGUGUUCGGGUUGUCAUGCCAAUGGCACUGCCCGGUAGCUAAAUGCGGAAGAGAUAAGUGCUGAAAGCAUCUAAGCACGAAACUUGCCCCGAGAUGAGUUCUCCCUGACCCUUUAAGGGUCCUGAAGGAACGUUGAAGACGACGACGUUGAUAGGCCGGGUGUGUAAGCGCAGCGAUGCGUUGAGCUAACCGGUACUAAUGAACCGUGAGGCUUAACCUU